UACGUAGGGGGCGAGCGUUGUCCGGAAUCAUUGGGCGUAAAGCGCGUGUAGGCGGCCCGGUAAGUCCGCUGUGAAAGUCCAGGGCUCAACCCUGGGAUGCCGGUGGAUACUGUCGGGCUCGAGUCCGGAAGAGGCGAGUGGAAUUCCUGGUGUAGCGGUGAAAUGCGCAGAUAUCAGGAGGAACACCAAUGGCGAAGGCAGCUCGCUGGGACGUGACUGACGCUGAGGCACGAAAGUGUGGGGAUCAAACAGG
rnacentral:rRNA from 1 species